AUGAAAGUCUUCAAUAGGAAGUCAGCUCCUAUUUUAAAACAAGCCUUCAAUAUUGUUUGCCUGCAAAGAAACAAAGGUUACAUGUUUCAAAAGUUUGCACAAUUCCUUCCCUUAGUGAGUAGGACAGUGUUUGAGUAAGAUUCGUCUGUUCUCCCCGUGGUCAGAAAAGGGAACCACAUGGACGUGACCAGUUGCGUAUGAGAAUGGAUGAACCACUGCAGAUGGGGGUCCCUGGAGGCUUCAGCUCCUCUGAUCUGGGGCUGAUGCAGAACUGAAAGCAUGUUUCUGCUCUGUGCCUUGUAUCUGCACUAAUGCGAGGAGGUGAAUAGCCAGUUCAGGGAACUAAUCUAGCUGAAAUCUUUCAAAAACAGCGAUGAAAUUUUAGGAAGAUCAGCUCUCAGAAAAGGAUCACCUCUGCAUGUACAAAAGAGUAGGUACAUAGUACUAAGCAUAUAGAAAGGAGUAUGUACUUGCCUUUAUCAGUGCUGCUGAUUCAGAUGCCCUCAAAUACAUGCUUGGACUACAUUAAGAAUUUAUCAAGGAAGUUCAGCUAGAAAUUAAGCUACAAAUAUAAUAUCUGUAAAGAAACAUCACCAGAAGAGUUUUCAAAUGGGAAAAUCACACACUCUUACAAAUUAUAACUGCUUUCCCAUAUUCUUUCCAAUACUAACAUUUUUAGAUUAACUGCUAUUUCUUCAAGGGGAGGAAAAUAACUUGAAUAUAAGAAGACCUCAGUAAAUUAUUGUCAAAAUAUUUUCUUUUUUCUAUUCAUUUUCUUCUUCCACGGUGCUUUCUGUUUAACAAAACAUGUUUCUUUUUGCAUCUUAGCAUUACCAAAUUCAUCCUCUAGAACCCAUCACAUGUAAAAGAAUUACACUGUCUCUUCUGGGAAGAACCUUCCACUCAGUGUUUUGUAAUUGACUGUCAAAUGCAGCUCCAUCUGUGAUUAUUGUUUUAACUUCUUUUAAAUCUCAUUAUCAAUCUUAAAUUCCCACAGUGUGGGAGAGGAGGUAUCCUCUUCCAAUACAAGAUGUCUAUACAUAUUACUAUAAAGGAAUUAUAGUCUUUGAAUGAGUAGAUAAGGACACUAGACUUGUGUGCCUGAGUGUCCCUGUCUGGGUGUAUUCUUAUUAACAGU
rnacentral:lncRNA from 1 species